AUUGAGUACAUGAUGAUUUCAUAGUUCAACUGAAUUAAUUUGAUGCACUACUGGGAAUCUUUCGCCCCUAUCUGAUUACUCUUA